rnacentral:misc_RNA from 1 species
AAGUCGUAACAAGGUCUCCGUUGGUGAACCAGCGGAGGGAUCAUUACCGAGUUUACAACUCCCAAACCCCUGUGAACAUACCUAUCGUUGCUUCGGCGGACCACCCCAACCCCUUCGGGGCGCGGGGCCCGCCAGAGGAUACCCAAAAUUCAAAUGUAUUUUGCCUUUACAAAUUUAUUCUGAGUGGAAUUUUUAAAUAAAUCAAAACUUUCAACAACGGAUCUCUUGGCUCUG